AUACGGAGGAUGCGAGCGUUAUCCGGAUUUAUCGGGUUUAAAGGGAGCGUAGGUGGGAUAUUAAGUCAGCUGUGAAAGUUUGGGGCUCAACCUUAAAAUUGCAGUUGAUACUGGUUUCCUUGAGUACGGUAUAGGUGGGCGGAAUUCGUGGUGUAGCGGUGAAAUGCUUAGAUAUCACGAAGAACUCCGAUCGCGAAGGCAGCUCACCGGGCCGGAACUGACACUGAUGCUCGAAAGGGCGGGUAUCAAACAGGAUUAGAUACCCUGGUAGUCCGCACAGUAAACGAUGAAUACUCGGUGUUUGCGAUACACGGUAAGCGGGCAAGCGAAAGCGUUAAGUAUUCCACCUGGGGAGUACGCCGGCAACGGUGAAACUCAAAGGAAUUGACGGGG
rnacentral:rRNA from 1 species